UACGUAGGGCGCAAGCGUUGUCCGGAAUUAUUGGGCGUAAAGAGCUCGUAGGCGGUUUGUCGCGUCUGUCGUGAAGGCCCACGGCUUAACCGUGGGUCUGCGGUGGAUACGGGCAGACUAGAGGCAGGUAGGGGAGAAUGGAAUUCCCGGUGUAGCGGUGAAAUGCGCAGAUAUCGGGAGGAACACCGGUGGCGAAGGCGGUUCUCUGGGCCUGUACUGACGCUGAGGAGCGAAAGCGUGGGGAGCGAACAGG
rnacentral:rRNA from 1 species